AGUCCCAUGUCGGUCUAGCUCAUGGGGUAGAGCGGCGGUCUCCAAAACCGCGCGUGGCAGGUUCGAGUCCUGCGACCGGCGCCA
rnacentral:tRNA from 1 species